UGACGAGCGGCGGACGGGUGAGUAAUGUAUGGGGAUCUGCCUGAUGGAGGGGGAUAACUACUGGAAACGGUAGCUAAUACCGCAUAAUGUCUACGGACCAAAGCGGGGGACCUUCGGGCCUCGCGCCAUCAGAUGAACCCAUAUGGGAUUAGCUUGUAGGUGAGGUAACGGCUCACCUAGGCGACGAUCCCUAGCUGGUCUGAGAGGAUGAUCAGCCACACUGGGACUGAGACACGGCCCAACUCCUACGGGAGGCAGCAGUGGGGAAUAUUGCACAAUGGGCGCAAGCCUGAUGCAGCCAUGCCGCGUGUAUGAAGAAGGCCUUCGGGUUGUAAAGUACUUUCAGUCGGGAGGAAGGUGGUAAGGUUAAUAACCUUAUCAAUUGACGUUACCGACAGAAGAAGCACCGGCUAACUCCGUGCCAGCAGCCGCGGUAAUACGGAGGGUGCAAGCGUUAAUCGGAAUUACUGGGCGUAAAGCGCACGCAGGCGGUUGAUUGAGUCAGAUGUGAAAUCCCCGGGCUUAACCCGGGAAUUGCAUCUGAUACUGGUCAGCUAGAGUCUUGUAAGGGGGGUAGAAUUCCAUGUGUAGCGGUGAAAU
rnacentral:rRNA from 1 species